GACGAACGCUGGCGGCGUGCCUAAUACAUGCAAGUCGAACGCAGUGGGGCCGGGUGAGUAACCCGUUGGUAACCUCCCAUCAGAGGGGAUAACACUUGGCAACAGGUGCUAAACCGAUACUGAUGGAUGGACCCGCGGUGCAUUAGCUAGUUGGGGAGGUAAAGGCUCACCAAGGCCACGAUGCAUAGCUGGUCUGAGAGGGUGAUCAGCCACACUGGGACUGAGACACGGCCCAGACUCCUACGGGAGGCAGCAGUGGGGAAUAUUGGGCAAUGGGCGAAAGUCUGAACGAGCAAUGCCGCGUGAGUGAAGAAGGUUUUCGGAUCGUAAAACUCUGUAGGUAGAGAAGCGGUAUCUAAAGAGAAAGCACCGGCUAACUACGUGCCAGCAGCCGCGGUAAUAC
rnacentral:rRNA from 1 species